rnacentral:lncRNA from 1 species
UAGAGCAUUACAAGAUUUAGAAAAUGCAGCCUCAGGUGAUGCAGCAGUCCAUCAAAGGAUAGCUUCUUUGCCUGUUGAAGUUCAAGAAGUAUCCCUGCUCGAGAAAAUAACAGAUAAAGAAUCUGGAGAAAGGCUUUCUAAGAUGGUGGAAGACGCUUGUAUGCUGCUGGCAGACUAUAAUGGCAGACUGGCAGCAGAAAUAGACGACAGAAAGCAACUCACUCGGAUGUUAGCGGACUUUCUUCGUUGUCAAAAGGAAGCCCUUGCAGAGAAAGAACAUAAAUUGGAAGUGCGUAACCUUUUCCUUCUUUAAUGCAUACCAUUUAAUUUUAAUAUACUUUAAUGUAUCUGUGCAUCUUAGAGUUCUUUGAUCAUGGACUGUUCUAGCCAUUGGCUCAGGUAAGCUUUUUCUUGCUAUCAAGAAUUUUUUCUCUGCCCUUGAACCACAGCAGCCUGAUUAAGUAACUCUGAAAUUUUGGUGUUAGCAGAAUUUGUUACAUUUAAAAUGAUUUAUAUUCAAUUCCAUGAAAUAGAAAAUAGUAAACCCUUCAAGCACAAAAAAUAAUAAGGACAUAACAACUCUCUUGAAGUCUUAUGUUAGUGGCAAUAAAUUGUUGGGUCUUUUGAACACUUAGUCUAGCACAUACCACCAUCUGUAGGUCUGUCAUUUGAAGUAUUCUCUCCACCUCUUGAUUCUCACACUUAACAUCUUCCUGCACACAUACACACUCCUUGGGCUUACACAUGCUGUUCCAGAGAAGGUUGUUGAAAGAUGAGGUAUGGCUGUCACUGUUGGUAAUGAGUCUGGGGGCUCAGGAGCUAAUAAAGAAGUAGUCUUUUAAUAUAUUUUGAGCAAAGUAGCCAUUGUCAAUAUAGGAAAGCUGGGUUUGGUUUUAUUUAAAAGACCAUUGGAUUUCCUAGUUCUUAUUUGAGUUGUUCUAAUUCCAAUGCUAUGUAUGACUGUUCUGUUUGAGUCCCUUUACUUACAGACAGCUCAUUCUGAAUUUGCAGGUGUAUCCUGGUACUGCCUCAAGUUUAUUUUUUAUUAUUUAGCUCUUGGUUCAUUCGUUUUUCAGUAAGCCCCAGGUGGUGUUUGAACUGGCUUGUUGUUGCAGUUCUGAGAGAGCUGUUUGAUUAUUCCACUCCAAAUGCUCAACUCCUAAUUUUGCACUGUCCUUUUUCCAUUUGCUCCCUUUCUGUUCACAUAAACUUGUUCUUCAGUUAUUGUUGCUAUGCUCUGUCCUGGAAGAGGUUGCCCACUUGAAAUGGAGAAGAUACAAUAGAGUUUCUUAGAACAUGAAUUUCAUAGUUGACUUACCUGUUUGUGAUGUCGUAGUGGUCUUCAGUCUUAACGCAUCAUUGCUUUUUCACUGUUUGCAGCACUCAGGGUGAGUAUGUCAGCAGUGUUUGUCUUCAGCCUUUUGGUACAGUUUCUUUAACUUCUGUUGAGCUUCUAUUGCAGAUAUUGGACACGGCGUAUCUUCUGUUGAUGCCAUCACCGUUAGCAUAUUCUUCCUGCUAAAAAUAAACAUCAAACUCCAAAGCC